CAGCCCUUGACAUGUCCGGGACCGGUCGCAGAGAUGUGACCCUCUCUUCGGAGCCCGGAACACAGGUGCUGCAUGGCUGUCGUCAGCUCGUGUCGUGAGAUGUUGGGUUAAGUCCCGCAACGAGCGCAACCCCCGUCCUUAGUUGCUACCAUUUAGUUGAGCACUCUAAGGAGACUGCCGGUGAUAAGCCGCGAGGAAGGUGGGGAUGACGUCAAGUCCUCAUGGCCCUUACGGGCUGGGCUACACACGUGCUACAAUGGCGGUGACAAUGGGAUGCUAAGGGGCGACCCUUCGCAAAUCUCAAAAAGCCGUCUCAGUUCGGAUUGGGCUCUGCAACUCGAGCCCAUGAAGUUGGAAUCGCUAGUAAUCGUGGAUCAGCACGCCACGGUGAAUACGUUCCC
rnacentral:rRNA from 1 species